UUACAAUGGAGAGUUUGAUCCUGGCUCAGGAUGAACGCUAGCUACAGGCUUAACACAUGCAAGUCGAGGGUAAACGACAUCGAAAGCUUGCUUUUGAUGGGCGUCGACCGGCGCACGGGUGAGUAACGCGUAUCCAACCUGCCCACCACUUGGGGAUAACCUUGCGAAAGUAAGACUAAUACCCAAUGAUAUCUCUAGAAGACAUCUGAAAGAGAUUAAAGAUUUAUCGGUGAUGGAUGGGGAUGCGUCUGAUUAGC
rnacentral:rRNA from 1 species